AACGAACGCUGGCGGCAUGCCUAACACAUGCAAGUCGAACGAUUGCCUUCGGGUGAUAGUGGCGCACGGGUGCGUAACGCGUGGGAAUCUGCCCUUAGGUUCGGAAUAACAGCUGGAAACGGCUGCUAAUACCGGAUGAUAUCGCGAGAUCAAAGAUGUAUCGCCUGAGGAUGAGCCCGCGUUGGAUUAGGUAGUUGGUGGGGUAAAGGCCUACCAAGCCGACGAUCCAUAGCCGGUCUGAGAGGAGGAUCAGCCACACGGGGACUGAGACACGGCCCAACUUCUUACGCAGGGCAAACAUGGGAAAGCUUGGAACAGGGGCAAAGGCCGGCACCAACAUUACCCCGCGAUGACUAAGGGCCCUAGGGUUGAAAAGCCUUUUUACCAGGGAAAUUCUGGCCGUAACGGCAAGAUAAAACCCGGCUAACUCCGU
rnacentral:rRNA from 1 species